AACGGGGGGAACGAGUGUUAUUCAUCAUAACUGGGCGUAAAGGGCGCGUAGACGGCAUUUCCAGUGUUAAGUUAAUUUAAGCAAUAAAUUUCUUUUUCAUACAGAAUGCUUGAGUUCUAAGGAUGUUAGUGGAAUUUAAUUUAUAGGGGUGAAAUUCGUAGAUAUCGGGAGGAACACCUGUGGCGAAGGCGGCGACCUGGGUCGAGACUGACGCUGAGGCGCGAAAGCGUGGGGAGCAAACAGG
rnacentral:rRNA from 1 species